rnacentral:rRNA from 1 species
UACGAAGGGGGCUAGCGUUGCUCGGAAUUACUGGGCGUAAAGGGAGCGUAGGCGGAUAGUUUAGUCAGAGGUGAAAGCCCAGGGCUCAACCCUGGAAUUGCCUUUGAUACUGGCUAUCUUGAGUACGGGAGAGGUGUGUGGAACUCCGAGUGUAGAGGUGAAAUUCGUAGAUAUUCGGAAAGAACACCAGUGGCGAAGGCGACACACUGGCCCGUUACUGACGCUGAGGCUCGAAAGCGUGGGGAGCAAACAGGGAU